CCUACGGGAGGCAGCAGUGAGGAAUAUUGGUGAAUGGACGAGAGCCUGAACCAGCCAAGUAGCGUGAAGGAUGACUGUCCUAUGGGUUGUAAACCUCUUUUAUAAAGGAAUAAAGCGAGGCACGUGUGCCUUUUUGCAUGUACUUUAUGAAUAAGGAUCGGCUAACUCCGUGCCAGCAGCCGCGGUAAUACGGAGGAUCCGAGCGUUAUCCGGAUUUAUUGGGUUUAAAGGGAGCGUAGAUGGGUUUUUAAGUCAGUUGUGAAAGUUUGCGGCUCAACCGUAAAAUUGCAGUUGAUACUGGCAGUCUUGAGUAUAGUUGAGGCAGGCGGAAUGCGUGGUGUAGCGGUGAAAUGCUUAGAUAUCACGAAGAACCCCGAUUGCGAAGGCAGCUUACUAAGCCGUGACUGACAUUGAUGCUCGAAAGUGUGGGUAUCAAACAGGAUUAGAUACCCUGGUAGUC
rnacentral:rRNA from 1 species